rnacentral:lncRNA from 1 species
AGAAUUCUCUUGACAUAGGCAACGUGCUCAGCAGUUUUCUUGUUCGCUACCGCUUUUCCCUUAACGUCCACCAUAUUGACCUGCGACGGGAAUGGAUUCUUGUCAAUUUUCAUAUUUUUAUUUUUUGGGUCGACAAAUAUGAGCCGAUCGUCAUUUAUUUCUUUUUGAAUCUGUCUUUUAAAGGCAGUACAUUCGUUUAUUUUAUGGCUCCCUGAGUGGUGCCAUUUACAAUAUCUUCUCUUUUUGAAUUCCACUCCAGAAGGUAUCGUUUUACUCUCCUGUAGUUGAAUUCGACCAUCUUUCAAUAACCGAUCAAAAAUUAAAUCG